rnacentral:rRNA from 1 species
AGGAGCUGCAGUCGACGAUUCCUACGGGAGGCAGCAGUGGGGGAUAUUGCGCAAUGGGCGAAAGCCUGACGCAGCGACGUCGCGUGGGUGAUGAAGGCCCUCGGGUCGUAAAGCCCUGUCGAGGGGGAAGAAACGGUCGAGACCCAAUACGUCUCGACCUUGACGGUACCCCUAAAGGAAGCACCGGCUAACUCCGUGCCAGCAGCCGCGGUAAUACGGAGGGUGCGAGCGUUGUUCGGAAUCACUGGGCGUAAAGCGCGUGCAGGCGGCUCGGUAAGUCUGGUGUGAAAGCCCGGGGCUCAACCCCGGAAGUGCACUGGAUACUGCCGAGCUCGAGUCCCGGAGAGGAGGGUGGAAUUCCUGGUGUAGCGGUGAAAUGCGUAGAUAUCAGGAGGAACACCGGCGGCGAAGGCGGCCCUCUGGACGGUGACUGACGCUGAGACGCGAAAGCGUGGGGAGCGAACAGGAUUAGAUACCCUGGUAGUCCACGCUGUAAACGAUGAUGACUCGAUGUUGGCGAUAUACCGUCAGCGUCCUAGCGAAAGCGUUAAGUCAUCCACCUGGGGAGUACGCUGGCAACAGUGAAACUCAAAGGAAUUGACGG